UAGCGUAGGGGGCAAGCGUUGUCCGGAAUCAUUGGGCGUAAAGAGCGCGUAGGCGGUCCGGUAAGUCAGCUGUGAAAGUCAAGGGCUCAACCCUUGAAAGCCGGUUGAUACUGUCGGGCUAGAGUCCGGAAGAGGCGAGUGGAAUUCCCGGUGUAGCGGUGAAAUGCGCAGAUAUCAGGAGGAACACCGGUGGCGAAGGCGGGUCUCUGGGCCGUAACUGACGCUGAGGAGCGAAAGCAUGGGGAGCGAACAGG
rnacentral:rRNA from 1 species